rnacentral:rRNA from 1 species
CCUACGGGAGGCUGCAGUGGGGAAUAUUGGACAAUGGGGGCAACCCUGAUCCAGCCAUGCCGCGUGUGUGAAGAAGGCCCUCGGGUUGUAAAGCACUUUCAGUGAGGAAGAACGCCUGGUGGUUAAUACCCAUCAGGAAAGACAUCACUCACAGAAGAAGCACCGGCUAACUCCGUGCCAGCAGCCGCGGUAAUACGGAGGGUGCGAGCGUUAAUCGGAAUUACUGGGCGUAAAGCGCGCGUAGGUGGCUUGAUAAGCCGGUUGUGAAAGCCCCGGGCUCAACCUGGGAACGGCAUCCGGAACUGUCAAGCUGGAGGGCAGGAGAGGAAGGUAGAAUUCCCGGUGUAGCGGUGAAAUGCGUAGAGAUCGGGAGGAAUACCAGUGGCGAAGGCGGCCUUCUGGACUGACACUGACACUGAGGUGCGAAAGCGUGGGUAGCAAACAGGAUUAGAUACCCCUGUAGUC